UAGGAUUAUAAUUUAAGAUAAAAUAUUUAAAUUGCAAUUAAAUAAUGUUAAUUUUAACUAAUCUUAA
rnacentral:tRNA from 1 species